UUCUUAGAAAUCAUUCAACCUUUUGGCCUAAAAAAAUACAAAGUUAUAUGGACUUGAGAGUUUAUGUUCAAUGGCAAUAAAGAGUUUCCCUGUGCAAGGGUUGGAAGUUUACUUUGAACUUUCUACCAGAGAUGAUAGUAACCAUUCAGUCAUGCACCAGUUGAAUGUUGAAGUUUGAAAAAGAAAGCAGGACAAAGUAAAGAACACUGAUUCAAAAGCCCCAUGAUCAGGCUUUUUGGUGUGUUUAGUGGUAGGUGGGUCUUACUUAACAUUAAUUGAGAUUUUCAUAUUUGAUCUCAACCCCAAAAAGGGGGGAAAAGAAAGUAGCAAAAGUAGCUAAAUACUUUAUUUGAUUUGGAAGGAUAAUGAAAUUUUCGGUGACUUAUGUCUCAAGUUAUAACAAAA